CUAUUUUCUAAGUUUUUCUAUGUAAAGUCUCGUCAGCAGCCAUGUGCUCUGCCAGGUUGCUUAGGCAAUCAGUGGGAACAUACGAUACCUUCAUUACUGAGAACUGGUCCUGUUCAGAGGGCUGUUGUUCGCUGGUUUUGCGUGGGGCCCUCGAUAGCGUGUCAGCUAUGUACAUGUCCUUGCCUUUUUUGUAGACAAUGUUGAAAUCAAAAUGCUGCAGCUGCAUCAUCAUCAGUUGCAGGCGAGCCAGAGUGGCGUGAAUGGGUUUGUUCAAGAUAGUGACCACCGGCUGGUGGUCUGUUUCUAUAGUCACAGACUUCCCAAAAAUAAAGUAUUUGAAUUUUAAGUGAGGAGGUAUUGGAGAUUCACUGUGAUGGAUGUUUGUG